rnacentral:rRNA from 1 species
AACGAACGCUGGCGGCAUGCCUAACACAUGCAAGUCGAACGAGACCUUCGGGUCUAGUGGCGCAUGGGUGCGUAACGCGUGGGAACCUGCCCUUAGGUUCGGAAUAACUCCCCGAAAGGGGUGCUAAUACCGGAUAAUGUCUUCGGACCAAAGAUUUAUCGCCUUUGGAUGGGCCCGCGUUGGAUUAGCUAGUUGGUAGGGUAAAAGCCUACCAAGGCGACGAUCCAUAGCUGGUCUGAGAGGAUGAUCAGCCACACUGGGACUGAGACACGGCCCAGACUCCUACGGGAGGCAGCAGUAGGGAAUAUUGGACAAUGGGCGAAAGCCUGAUCCAGCAAUGCCGCGUGAGUGAUGAAGGCCUUAGGGUUGUAAAGCUCUUUUACCCGGGAUGAUAAUGACAGUACCGGGAGAAUAAGCUCCGGCUAACUCCGUG